GACGAACGCUGGCGGCGUGCCUAAUACAUGCAAGUCGAACGCAGUGGGGACGGGUGAGUAACACGUGGGUAACCUCCCAUCAGAGGGGAUAACACUUGGCAACAGGUGCUCAACCGAUACUGCUCGAUGGCCCCGCGGUGCAUUAGCUAGUUGGUGAGGUAACGGCUCACCAAGGCCACGAUGCAUGGCCGGCCUGAGAGGGUGACCGGCCACACUGGGACUGAGACCCGGUCCAGACUCCUACGGGAGGCAGCAGUGGGGAAUCUUCGGCAAUGGACGAAAUUCUGACCGAGCAACGCGGCGUGAGUGAAGAAGGUUUUCGGAUCGUAAAACUCUGUUGUUAGAGAAGCGGUAUCUAACCAGAAAGCCACGGCUAACUACGUGCCAGCAGCCGCGGUAAUUC
rnacentral:rRNA from 1 species